UGGGAGAGCUUUUUCGGUUGACCCGCCGGACCAGGGACGGGGGGGGACUAAGACAUGCAAGUCGUGCGUCUCUAGGCUAUGGAGAGACGCGGCGUACGGCUCAGUAACACGUGGCUAACCUACCCUUAGGACGGGGACAACCCCGGGAAACUGGGGCUAAUCCCCGAUAGGUGAGGAGGCCUGGAAUGGUUCCUCACCGAAAAGGCGUUGAAACCAUGCUUUUCAACGUCGCCUAAGGAUGGGGCCGCGCCCGAUCAGGUUGUUGGUGAGGUAACGGCUCACCAAGCCUUUGACCGGUACGGGCCGUGAGAGCGGGAGCCCGGAGAUGGGCACUGAGACAAGGGCCCAGGCCCUACGGGGCGCAGCAGUCGCGAAAACUCCGCAAUGCGCGAAAGCGUGACGGGGCUACCCCGAGUGCCGUCCGCUGAGGAUGGCUUUUCCCCGGUGUAAUGAGCCGGGGGAAUAAGGAGAGGGCAAGCCUGGUGUCAGCCGCCGCGGUAAUACCAGCUCUCCGAGUGGUAGGGACGAUUAUUGGGCUUAAAGCGUCCGUAGCCGGCUUAGCAAGUCUCCUGUUAAAUUCAGCGACCUAAUCGUUGAAACGCGGGAGAUACUACUAGGCUAGGAGGCGGGAGAGGCCGACGGUAUUCCCGGGGUAGGGGUGAAAUCCUAUAAUCCCGGGAGGACCACCAGUGGCGAAGGCUGUCGGCUAGAACGCGCUCGACGGUGAGGGACGAAAGCUGGGGGAGCGAACCGGAUUAGAUACCCGGGUAGUCCCAGCCGUAAACGAUGCGGGCUAGGUGUUGAGGUGGCUACGAGCCACUUCAGUGCCGCAGGGAAGCCAUUAAUCCCGCCGCCUGGGGAGUACGGCCGCAAGGCUGAAACUUAAAGGAAUUGUUUGGGGAAGCACCACAAGGCGUGAAGCUUCCCCUUCUCUUGAUCAACCCCUUAUUGUUCCCCCCCUGCACAUCGCCGAUAAGGAGCUCCCCCGCGUUGGAUGCGUAGAGGUGAGUAUUCUAUAGUGUCGCACUAGUAGCUCGGCGUAGUCAUGUGCAAG
rnacentral:rRNA from 1 species